rnacentral:rRNA from 1 species
CUACGGAGGGUGCAAGCGUUACUCGGAAUCACUGGGCGUAAAGGACGCGUAGGCGGAUUGGAAAGUCAGAUGUGAAAUCCUACAGCUUAACUGUAGAACUGCAUUUGAAACUUCUAAUCUAGAGUAUGGGAGGGGGAGAUGGAAUUAGUGGUGUAGGGGUAAAAUCCGUAGAUAUCACUAGGAAUACCGAAAGCGAAGGCGAUCUCCUGGAACAUAACUGACGCUAAGGCGUGAAAGCGUGGGGAGCAAACGGGAUUAGAAACCCCAGUAGUCC